rnacentral:rRNA from 1 species
ACGAACGCUGGCGGCGUGCUUAACACAUGCAAGUCGGACGGAAAGGCCCUGCUUUUGUGGGGUUCUCGAGUGGCGAACGGGUGAGUAACACGUGAGUAACCUGCCCUUGACUUUGGGAUAACUUCAGGAAACUGGGGCUAAUACCGGAUAGGAGCUCCUGCUGCCUGGUGGGGGUUGGAAAGUUUCGGCGGUUGGGGAUGGACUCGCGGCUUAUCAGCUUGUUGGUGGGGUAGUGGCUUACCAAGGCUUUGACGGGUAGCCGGCCUGAGAGGGUGACCGGCCACAUUGGGACUGAGAUACGGCCCAGACUCCUACGGGAGGCAGCAGUGGGGAAUAUUGCACAAUGGGCGGAAGCCUGAUGCAGCAACGCCGCGUGCGGGAUGACGGCCUUCGGGUUGUAAACCGCUUUCGCCUGUGACGAAGCGUGAGUGACGGUAAUGGGUAAAGAAGCACCGGCUAACUACGUG